UACGGGGGGGGCAAGCGUUGUUCGGAAUUACUGGGCGUAAAGGGCUCGUAGGCGGCCAACUAAGUCAGACGUGAAAUCCCUCGGCUUAACCGGGGAACUGCGUCUGAUACUGGAUGGCUUGAAUCCGGGAGAGGGAUGCGGAAUUCCAGGUGUAGCGGUGAAAUGCGUAGAUAUCUGGAGGAACACCGGUGGCGAAGGCGGCAUCCUGGACCGGCAUUGACGCUGAGGAGCGAAAGCUGGGGGAGCAAACAGG
rnacentral:rRNA from 1 species